rnacentral:rRNA from 1 species
UUGGAGGGCAAGUCUGGUGCCAGCAGCCGCGGUAAUUCCAGCUCCAAUAGCGUAUAUUAAAGUUGUUGCAGUUAAAAAGCUCGUAGUUGAACUUCGGGGUUCACCCAUUGGUCAGGCUUAAUUGUCUGUACUGGUGAGAUGAAUCUCUACCUUCUGAGGAACUUUCAUGCCAUUUAUUUGGUGUGAUUGGAAAUCAGGACUGUUACUUUGAAAAAAUUAGAGUGUUUAAAGCAGGCUAACGUCUGAAUACAUUAGCAUGGAAUAAUGAAAUAGGACGGAUUGAUUCUAUUUCGUUGGUUUCUAGGAUCACCGUAAUGAUUAAUAGGGAUAGUUGGGGGCAUUAGUAUUCAAUUGUCAGAGGUGAAAUUCUUGGAUUUAUUGAAGACUAACUACUGCGAAAGCAUUUGCCAAGGAUGUUUUCAUUAAUCAAGAACGAAAGUUAGGGGAUCGAAGACGAUCAGAUACCGUCGUAGUCUUAACCAUAAACUAUGCCGACUAGGGAUCGGACGCAGUUAAUUUUAUAAUGACGUGUUCGGCACCUUAUGGGAAACCAAAG